AGCGAACGCUGGCGGCGUGCCUAACACAUGCAAGUCGAACGUGAAAAGGGAAACCUGAGUAAAGUGGCGUACGGGUGAGUAACGCGUAGGUAAUCUACCCCAGAAUCUGGAAUAACCUGCCGAAAGGCGGGCUAAUACUGGAUAGAGCGAGGGAACUCGUAAGAGAGUUUUUCGGGAAAGGGAGCCCGCAAGGGCCUUCGUUCUGGGAUGAGCCUGCGUCUCAUUAGCUAGUUGGUAAGGUAACGGCUUACCAAGGCGAUGAUGAGUAGCUGGUCUGAGAGGAUGAUCAGCCACACUGGACCUGAAACACGGUCCAGACUCCUACGGGAGGCAGCAGUGGGGAAUCUUGCGCAAUGGACGAAAGUCUGACGCAGCCACGCCGCGUGAGUGAAGAAGGCCUUCGGGUUGUAAAGCUCUGUCGGAUGGGACGAACAUCUUCAUAGUGAAUAGCUAUGAGGACUGACGGUACCAUCAAAGGAAGCACCGGCUAACUCCGUG
rnacentral:rRNA from 1 species